rnacentral:piRNA from 1 species
UACACGAGACAGUAAAUUGAAGCUCUCAUA